AGGCCAAUCCCUCUGCUCCGUUCGUCCACCCGCUCUCGCUCGCCCUCCCGUGCCCGGUAAUGACAAUCAUUACCGGGGAAUGAUUGCAGCGUCGGGUUCGCCAGCGCGCCAGCCGCGCUAUUGGGGGAUGGAAACCACCUUAUAGAGUCUCUCCUCGGUCCUCGAUGCGAGCGGAUUGUCACAUGCUCCCGCUUGCACGGCGGUGCGCGUUUCCUCUUCUUCGUUCGCACUUCCUCCGCGUUCGAUUUUGCGGUGAAGAACUUUCUUCGUAGUGUGAGUGACCCCGGGAGACAUGGCGGUCAGUCGCGGCGGGAAAAAAAAAAAGUAGCGGUUGGGAAGAAAGUUACCGGAGGCCGCAUCGGGAACACACUUUCGGCACAUCCGCGUCACGUUAUCAGCGACACUUCUUCUCGAGAGUGAAACGCGACAUUCGCUUGUUCGAGUCGCUCCUGCCGUAGAUCUCUCAUUCAAUCUUCGUGACACAAGUGUGUUGUGCGAUGAAAAAUGGCGGCCGUUUUACGUGUGUUGCGUAGAUGCAGCAUAAUGAAGCUGCUCAUUGGAAAAGAUGUGGUUCGGUAUUUUGAUCAAUAAUUAAUUAAAUCUUGUUGAUUAUGACAAUUGAAGAGAAGUUUGAGUGCCGACAAAGCGUUUUAUUCAAAUAUUAACAUCAAAUGUUUAGUACAUAAAAAAUGACCGAAUAGGGGACACUAGUUGCGUUUCUGUUAACUUAUUUGUGGAUCUAUUGCGGUGAUGUAUCGUCGACCGUACGCGCAACGUUACACAGCAUUGUCGUGGCUAUGUUUAGAGUGGCCCUCGACGAGUUCCAGUGAAAAGGCCUCCUCUUUCGUGCGUGUUGUAUGCCGAUAGAGUUGUAACGUUCUGCAUGGCACACAUGUCGUGUUCUAGAUGCACGUAAUACACUCACCGCUGUUGUCGAUACUGUGUUCAGCUGUCGCAGAUAUACUGGCAUCGCGCCGAGAUGCUCGCGAAACUUCGGAAAUUCGAACGAGCUCUCUGCAACGUUUACGACUUAAGAGUUGAACAAUAAUUGUCGCUUGAGAACCGAUCAUUUGCGGAUAUAUACCUGCGUAUUUCUGCCGUCUGCCCGACUUCGAAGGACAUCCCUGAGUCCACCGAAUGACUCCGAGAAACAACAUUUCGCAAGAACCACGCGAGAGAAAUUCGUCGGAAGGAUUUUUCCCAACCAACUUUGUGACACGCGGUCUCUUUUGUAUAUGCAUCAUUUAUGUGCGAAGCUUAACUUUUUACGCUAUACCGCGCCUAGUAUUAUGGCACUGUAUAUUUAUACUUCGUGUAUGAACAGUCUCUCAUUUCCUUCGAAGUAAACGCGCACGGCAGGAAAGGCAAGAACACUGUACCGCAAACAUGUACCUUUGCAUUAUUCUGCAUUUGUAUAAGAAAAAUACGAGAAAAAGAGAGAAGAAGAGAAAAAGGAGAGUUUACUUUACAUCAACUCUUUAUUUGAAACUUGUUACAAAUAAAGAAAUGUUUUAAUUAAAAUUUAUAUAGUAUUGUAAUGUUAUACGCAGGUGAUGAGCAUGUGACAACACUCGGAAUAUAUUUUGAUAGAUGUAGAUACAAAAUGGCCAUUCAAACGUGACUUCGCGUUAGCAGAUAUGGAUCGCGCCCUCCCUGUCGGAGGAAUCCCUCUCGGGGGGAUGGCAAACGACCAGAGGACGGGGUUGGUGUUACCAUGGCAACAACGAUCCCUCAGUAGCCGAACCCUCCUACACCCUUCAUUCAACUCUGCCACCCCUAUAAUCCGCUCGAACUCGAAGACAGCUACUGCACAAUUUUCGCGAGAAGAUACGCGCGCUUCUAUGAUGUAUCACUAAAAAAAGAGCAAAUUUUGAUAUGUGUUUUUCGUUAAGAAUUAAACUGUCAAUAACGUGUGUAAGAAAAUUCAUAUGAAAAUAAAAUUUUGAUUGAAUUUACAAGUUAAAAUGUUUUGCAAAAUAUCGCUUUAUUUAAUAAAACAAUUAAUUCGAGUUAAACGUUUGUCCGAAUUGUUUCUUGCGCGAUAUAUCUAUUGGAGAUAAUACUGACAAUCAAUCGAUAUUUUUCACACAUUGAUUAGCUGGUAAAUUUACUACAAAACGACGACCAAUAAUGAGAAAAAUUAAUUCAGAUUAAAUGAAAUUAUUCUCAAUCGUAGAAUCAAUCAAAAAUGUUAGUAAUUUUCUAUCGAUAUUAUUAACAAUAGCAGGGAUUGUUUCGCGCUAACAUUUGAAAAUGAUUGCUACUUCGAUAAUGUUCAGAGAUAACCAAUGAGAGAAGGCAAGACCUAAAAUUACGCGCGUUAGCUCUCUCGACUUGUAGACUAUACAAUUCGUGAUGUAAUUGUAAGUACAGGCCGCGGAUAUAUUUGCAGCGGUGGUUACGUACGUGAUUGCAAUUAAACUUACUUCAAUAAUUGAUAGCCCCGACGCGAGCGAAGACGCGUUAAUACGCAGAAAGUCGUGUCGUAAAUCACUUCCAAGAAUUUAGCAUGUAUCUGCGCAAUUAUUCCACUGCGUAAUUGUACGAGCAAAUAUUUUUAACGAGCUCGUAUUUCUCUUCCUAUUUUUCUCAAAGAAUUUUUGUCAAAAGAUAAUUUUUUUCUAGUUUUUAAUUCACGAAACAUCGUAUAAUUUAGUAAAAGUUAUAAAAAAUGUGCGAUUGUACUUCAAUAUUAUUUUGAGCUCUAAUUUUAUUAAAAUUACA